AGCGAUAAAAAUUUUUAACAAACCCUUAUAGGCGACCUUUAAAAGUUGAAACCUUUCAGAUUUAAUUUUUAUUUAUUUAUUUUAUUAUAAUUUUUUGUAAUUUUCGUUACUGUUUCUGCCGACGGAUGGCGCUACCUUCUCGUUAGCUUUACUCUUUUUGGCUAUAAAUUCAACCGUGACUUUUCCUUCGUUACAGAUCUCUUUGCUUUUGAUGAAGAGGGACCUGUUGCCCUGGAAAUCGAUAGAUUCUUGACUAAAAGCUACAGCAAACGCAAGGCUUUGUCUGACUUACGGCAAAAAUCAAAAAAAGAUGUGUUAGAAGAUACUACAUUCUGGCAUCAGGAGAUCAAAAAAGUAAAGGAGGAAAACGAUCAGGCAUGGCAACAACGGUUGAAUCGCUUGCAAGAAAGGCUUCUUUCUCAAGAAGAAGAACUCCGGCAAGUACAAAAUGAAAAUGAAGAACUUCAAAGGCGACUUGAGACGCAGUCAUCCCCCACUUGUUGCUGUAAGGGAGAUAUUGUUUCAGAUGGCAAUGUGCGUCUUGAUUCUGCUUUUGAAGAUGAUGAAGAAUGCCUCAAUUACAAACCUUCCACUCCUGUAAGUUCACAUAAAAAAAUAAAAAAAA